UACGAAGGGGGCUAGCGUUGCUCGGAUUUACUGGGCGUAAAGGGCGCGUAGGCGGCGGGGUAAGUCUGGUGUGAAAUCUCGGAGCUCAACUCCGAAAUUGCACUGGAUACUGCUCUGCUUGAGGGUUGGAGAGGAGAUCGGAAUUCACGGUGUAGCAGUGAAAUGCGUAGAUAUCGUGAGGAAGACCAGUGGCGAAGGCGGAUCUCUGGACAAAUCCUGACGCUGAGGCGCGAAGGCUAGGGGAGCAAACGGG
rnacentral:rRNA from 1 species